CCUACGGGUGGCAGCAGUGGGGAAUAUUGCACAAUGGGGGAAACCCUGAUGCAGCGACGCCGCGUGAGUGAAGAAGGAAUUCGGUAUGUAAAGCUCUAUCAGCAGGGAGGAAAGUGACGGUACCUGUGUCAGAAGCACCGGCUAACUACGUGCCAGCAACCGCGGUAAUACGUAGGGUGCAAGCGUUAUCCGGAUUUACUGGGUGUAAAGGGAGCGCAGACGGCAGUGCAAGUCUGGAGUGAAAGGCGGGGGCUCAACCCGCGGACUGCUCUGGAGACUGUACGGCUGGAGUGCAGUAGAGGUAAGUGGAAUUCCUAGUGUAGCGGUGAAAUGCGUAGAUAUCAGACAGAACACCGAUUGCGAAGGCAUCUCACGAAUCCGCGAUUGACGCUGAUGUACGAAAGCGUGGGUAGCAAACAGGAUUAGAUACCCCUGUAGUC
rnacentral:rRNA from 1 species